UGUUUACGGAAAAGGAGAAGAUUGAACGAUUUUUUUUUGAACGCAAUCUAGUUUCUAACCCAGUCGAUGGUGCGGUUUCAGAGCAGACCGGACAUCUCACGACACUCACGAACUUUUUACGACGUGUUUGUCAAACCUUAAUCGUUUUUAAGGCUCUGUCGUCGCCUGGAUGCAGAAUGCUCGUGGUCCGUGUGUUAAUAGCCUUUGUUCUUCUUAAAAACACGCACGGGACCUCACGUGACAGACCAAACAUAGUCGUGCUCAUGUCUGACGCCUUUGAUGGAAGGUUAACUUUUUCUCCUGGCAAUAAAGUUGUGCGGCUGCCUUACAUCAACUAUAUCAGGGAAACGGGUGCGCUGUUUCUCAACUCGUACACUAAUUCACCAAUCUGCUGUCCUUCAAGGGCAGCUAUGUGGAGUGGCCGGUUUGUUCAUUUGACCCAGGCCUGGAACAAUUAUAAAUGUCUUGACUCCAAUGCCACCACAUGGAUGGAUCAUUUAGGAAAAAGUGGCUACCACACUCAUAGCAUGGGGAAACUAGACUACACCUCGGGACAUCACUCUGUCAGUAACCGUGUGGAGGCUUGGACCAGAGACGUUCCGUUCCUGCUGAGACAAGAGGGCCGUCCGGUCACAGAUCUGGUGGGGGAUACGUCCACAAAGAGAGUGAUGACUAAAGACUGGAACGUCACUGAUGCUGCCGUCCAGUGGAUCCGACACACCGCUGCGUCUCUCGCCCAGUCGUUUGCGCUAUACGUGGGGCUCAAUCUCCCACACCCCUACCCCACAGACUCCCUGGGACCCGCUGCCGGGGGCUCUACCUUCCGCACCUCCCCGUAUUGGCUAAACAAGGUUUCUUAUGAUCAAGUGUCUGUUCCGAAGUGGUUACGGCUUGAAGACAUGCACCCCGUGGAUUACUACUCCACUUUCACCAAAAAUUGCAGUGGCCACUUCACGGAAGAAGAGGUCAGAAACAUUAGAGCCUUUUACUAUGCCAUGUGCGCUGAAACAGACAGCAUGUUGGGUGAGGUGACAGCUGCUCUCAGAGACACCGGCCUUCUGAACGGCACAGUCGUAUUGUUCACGUCGGAUCAUGGGGAUCUAGCCAUGGAACACAGGCAGUUCUACAAGAUGUCCAUGUUUGAGGGCAGCUCUCACGUCCCGCUGCUUAUGAUGGGCCCAGGAGUGAAGGCUGGCUUUGAAAUCAGUCUGCCUGUGUCUCUGGUGGACAUUUAUCCCACUGUGCUUGAUCUUGCUGGUGUUCCACAGCCAGGCGGUCUCAGUGGUCACUCGCUGAUGUCUCUGGUUUCUGGGGUCAGUGCACAAUCAGCGGAGCCUCAUCCUGGCUGGGUGCUCAGUGAAUAUCACGGUUGCAAUGCAAACGCCUCCAUGUAUAUGCUCAGAAUCGGCGAGUGGAAGUACAUCACGUAUGCGGAUGGAUUGACUGUUCCCCCACAGCUCUUUAACUUGUCUGCAGAUGAAUCAGAAUUGAGAAAUGUUGCCUCGCACUUCCCUCAUGUAUGUCAGGACUUGGACAAGGUGUUACGUACCCUUGUGGACUAUCCCAGCGUCUCCGAAGCUGUUCACCGCUACAAUAAACAACAGUUUCUGGAAUGGAAGCAAAGCCUAGGAGACGGUUACUCCCAGACCAUAGCCAACCUGCGAUGGCACGUUGACUGGCAAAAGGAUGCCCAGACCUAUGAGAGAGUUAUUGAAGAGUGGCUGUUAGAGUUGGAUUGAUCACCCGUCUGUCAGUGAUUAUUCAUGUUCCUAUUUAAAAAAAGAAAACAAACAAUGUGAUCUGCAGAUGUCAAGGCUACCCAGACAAAGUACUUGAAACAUAGCUUCCCAAAGGCGAUCGAUCAAGUGUAGGUGACGGAACAUAGUUUAUGCAAUACUCCAUACCGCCGAGAGGGGGUGAUAUAAAAAGCUAAACUUUAAAACCCAAGAAGACUAUCGUGAAACCCGUGCGUACGAG